AGUGAACGCUGGCGGUAGGCCUAACACAUGCAAGUCGAACGGCAGCACAGUAAGAGCUUGCUCUUACGGGUGGCGAGUGGCGGACGGGUGAGGAAUACAUCGGAAUCUACUUUUUCGUGGGGGAUAACGUAGGGAAACUUACGCUAAUACCGCAUACGACCUACGGGUGAAAGCAGGGGAUCUUCGGACCUUUCGCGAUUGAAUGAGCCGAGGUCGGAUUAGCUAGUUGGCGGGGUAAAGGCCCACCAAGGCAACGAUCCGUAGCUGGUCUGAGAGGAUGAUCAGCCACACUGGAACUGAGACACGGUCCAGACUCCUACGGGAGGCAGCAGUGGGGAAUAUUGGACAAUGGGCGCAAGCCUGAUCCAGCCAUACCGCGUGGGUGAAGAAGGCCUUCGGGUUGUAAAGCCCUUUUGUUGGGAAAGAAAAGCAGCAGGUUAAUACCCCGCUGUUCUGACGGUACCCAAAGAAUAAGCACCGGCUAACUUCGUG
rnacentral:rRNA from 1 species